UCAUUAUCGUACAAUGGAGGUGCUGGGGUUGUCGCUGACCUUUGAAAGGGUCGUGCACGCCUCGGUGCUUUCACACAUAAUCCAUCUCACCCCUUUUGUGCAUCACCGCGUGGGGGCCCCUUUUAGCUAGGUCUGAAGGGGGCUUUCACGUUUUUACAAACACACCCUUUUAAUGGAAUAUGGAAAAAGGCUUAAUUUUUGGGAAGACCCCCAAUCCAUACCACUUUCAACAACCGAACUCUUGGCUCUCCCAUCCGUGAAGAACGCAGCCAAAUGGCAUACCUAAUGGGAAUUGGAGAAUUCCGUGGAUCCUCCAAUCCUUGAACGCACCUUGGGCCCUUUGGCAUUCCCAAAGGCACACCCGUUUGAAUGGCCGGGCCUCCUCCAACCUUCCUGGUUUCCUGACCCAGAAAGGUUUGGAAUUUGGAAGGUUUUGGUGGAACUUCCCUUGGUGAAACCCGCUCCUUCUAAAUGAAUUAAUGGGGUCUGCUUUGCUGAACCUUGACGUGGUAAGAAGCUUCCACCUCUUGGGUUUUGGACUGGUUGGUCCAGAUCCUGCCUCUAACCGUCUCAUAAAAGAACAAUGGGCCACAUUGACCCACAAACCUUGACCUCAA
rnacentral:rRNA from 1 species